CCUACGGGAGGCAGCAGUGGGGGAUAUUGCACAAUGGGGGAAACCCUGAUGCAGCGACGCCGCGUGUGGGAAGACGGUCCUCUGGAUUGUAAACCACUGUCCCCAGGGACGAAGAUGACGGUACCUGGGGAGGAAGCUCCGGCUAACUACGUGCCAGCAGCCGCGGUAAUACGUAGGGAGCGAGCGUUGUCCGGAAUUACUGGGUGAAAAGGGAGCGUAGGCGGGGAUGCAAGUUGGGUGUCAAAACUACCGGCUCAACUGGUAGUCGCACUCAAAACUGCAGCUCUUGAGUGAAGUAGAGGCAGGCGGAAUGCCUGGUGUAGCGGUGAAAUGCGUAGAUAGUAGGAGGAACACCAGUGGCGAAGGCGGCCUGCUGGGCUUUUACUGACGCUGAGGCUCGAAAGUGUGGGGAGCAAACAGGAUUAGAUACCCCUGUAGUC
rnacentral:rRNA from 1 species